UAGGGAAUCUUCGGCAAUGGACGAAAGUCUGACCGAGCAACGCCGCGUGAGUGAAGAAGGUUUUCGGAUCGUAAAACUCUGUUGUUAGAGAAGAACAAGGACGUUAGUAACUGAACGUCCCCUGACGGUAUCUAACCAGAAAGCCACGGCUAACUACGUGCCAGCAGCCGCGGUAAUACGUAGGUGGCAAGUGUUGUCCGGAUUUAUUGGGCGUAAAGCGAGCGCAGGCGGUUUCUUAAGUCUGAUGUGAAAGCCCCCGGCUCAACCGGGGAGGGUCAUUGGAAACUGGGAGACUUGAGUGCAGAAGAGGAGAGUGGAAUUCCAUGUGUAGCGGUGAAAUGCGUAGAUAUAUGGAGGAACAACAGUGGCGAAGGCGGCUCUCUGGUCUGUAACUGACGCUGAGGCUCGAAAGCGUGGGGAGCAAACAGG
rnacentral:rRNA from 1 species